GGCUAGUCAGAACAGUAGUUUCAAAACCACUAACCCGAGGUCGAGGAAAUUAUUUUUUUAUAUUAUUUUAUGUAUUGUAGCAUGAUUAGAUAAGUACAUGAAAAUUUUGGUGAAUUAAUUUUAGCGAUUGUUUGCUUAAUUGCGAAAAAAGGACUAAAUCGCAUAAAGUAAAAAAGUCUUAAAUUGUUAGCUAAAGGUGUUAAAUUGCUAUGAACCUUAAUUUAGGGGUUUUUAAAGGGCAAUUAGACCCUUUCCUAAGAGCUUGGC
rnacentral:lncRNA from 1 species